rnacentral:rRNA from 1 species
AACGAACGCUGGCGGCAUGCCUAACACAUGCAAGUCGAACGAAACCGUCGGGUCUAUUGGCGCACGGGUGCGUAAGGCCUGGUAACAUGCCCUUAGGUUCGGAAUAACUCCCCGAAAGGGGUGCUAAUACCGGUUAAUGUCUUCGGACCAAAGAUUUAUCGCCUUUGGAUGGGCCCGCGUUGGAUUAGCUAGUUGGUAGGGUAAAAGCCUACCAAGGCGACGAUGCAUAGCUGGUCUGAGAGGAUGCUCAGCCCCACUGGGACUGAGACACGGCCCAGACUCCUACGGGAGGCAGCAGUGGGGAAUAUUGGACACGGGGCGAAGGCCUGAUCCAGCAAUGCGGGGUGAGUGAUGAAGGCCUUAGGGUUGUAAAGCCCUUUUACCCGGGAUGAUAAUGACAGUACCGGGAGAAGAAGCACCGGCUAACUCCGUG